AGAGAAGCUAUCCACGUUGGACUAAAUAAUCGACCAAUAGAAAGCUUGCUUUUUGCCACAUCAGCACAGAUCUUGGGUAUUGUUGGGCUUUUCUUUAUAUUUUUGAUCUGUUUUGUUUGAUGUGUCUAGCCCACAAAACCUAAUCUGAGAAGCUGAGAAACCAAACGAUGAAUCCCUUCUCUUUCAUGUCGUUCUUUGUCUCUAUUUCUACCGUCUUCUCAUCUUUCCUCCUCAUACAAAAACGUUUCCCGUUUCUUCAGUCGAGAUUGUCUUCUCAUCUCCCGUACUUCCUCCAUCUUUCAUGAUUAUAUAUGUCAAAGUCACCAACAAUAGAUCAAUCCAAUUGUUUGUUUUAAUUUCAUCACCUACACUUCAAUUCGAAAUACAAUUUUCCAGUUUCAAAGUUACAUCGACUUGGGAGUACUCCGGGUAUCAUUGUAAAAUGCCUCUAAUCAUGUUUUCGGAUUUCGCCUAACCAUGUAUCAGAUCCCUGUUUGCUUCAUCAUCCCUUAAAUCAGAGAAAUAUGAGUCGUACCAUGGUGAACAAGGCCUUAAAGGCUAACCAAAUCAGAACCGGAGCUGAACGCAAGAGAUCUUUUGUGGCAUGUUUAGCCUUAGGUAUGUCCUUGAAGACGACAGUUCCCACACGAACACAACGGCAACCCAAACUCAGAAGAAACAGGUUUCUGUCGAGUUUCUCAUUCCUGGUUAAAAAAAAAACUGGUGAGAUUUUCAGUUGAUCAUCUGAGGUAUGGAUACACAAACAUGAUGCAAGAGAAAGGCAUAAGGAGCACAUGUAUUAAUACAUAUUUCUACUCAGUUCCACUUAAUUACCAGAAGGAUGGUUUCAAACUUCAACCGACUGUACCAUAUCUCAAAUCCGUUUUGAAUCGGUGGUAUCUAAAGUUUAUGUAAAUCGACGAUUUGUUUCCAGGCCUAUAUGUUGGUGCAUUCGGACCUAAAGGCACUGAGAUAGUACAACUUCAUUGUCAGUAUGGACACUAAAGUGAUGUAGAGGAAAGCAACUCCUCAAAUAUUGAGUUCUUUGAAUAUACUGAUGCUGUGAAGUUACAUGGGAUCCAAAUAUGUCGGCUGGCCAGAAAAUAUUUUGUGCAAGAGUUGGAAGGGAAGUCGUGUGAGGAAUCGUGGAUUCUAUAGGAAAUGGUGUGAGAGUUGUUUGUGUAUAUGAAGCUUUGGAGAUGCAUGUGUUGGAGGGCCGCUUUUAAAACUCAAUGGAAUGGUGAGACAAUAUAGACAACCCGUCAGUUAUUUGUCCCGGAAUGCGACCAUACGGGAUAGGUGGGGUUCUAAAUAACACAUGUGUUGGACACAAGAACUUAAUGAGGCUUUUGUUGACGCUGUGCCUAAUCAGCUUGGCGGUAGUCAACGUGCGUAAACUUUCCUCUUCUCUUUGUUCCUGUAAAUAAAUAUUUGAAGGCUAUUAACUAUAAACAGUGGCGCUUACCAUUCUCUUGGACUUCUUCUUUCAACCAUAGGAGCCACGCCUUAGACUGUUCUGAAUAACAUAGGUUUUGUUCUUAUCCUGACUAUUUAUUUCGUUUUCUUGCAAUUCAUGUUGUUACAGUUAUCUCCUUUUGUAUUUUCUUACGGAGAGAAAUACAGAAAGCAAAAGCAUAAGCAGGAGACUUUGGAAGCUACAGCAUAUACUUUCACAAAUACUUUUGUGCUUUCCUGAGCUAUAAACCACAUAUGGGUCUUGAAAAUUAAUCAUUCCUUAGAGAGGCUAAUGUCUCUAAGGCAACAGGUUACAAAGGAACCCAUAUUUUUGAUAACUGUGUUUCUUUCUUCACAGGGGAACCUCGAGAGAAGAAGAUGACAUCAACGGAAGAAAUCAAAUAUCUUGACAUGUUAACGAGCAUUGAGAUCGUAGAAUCUUUAAGGUUACAAACUGAAGUUCAGAAACACCUCCAUCUCCAGCUUGAGGUAAUGAUUUCACCUGCAUAGCGUUAAAAAGACAAGCAAUUCUCUGUUCGGGAGACUUCAUUGCGGUCAGGUGCGAGGGACCAGUUUAUCAUAGAGAAAGCAUAGCACGCAGAUUGAGGUUGACUCAGUCAUGGCAAUCUAAGAUAUUGAGGUUUUGAUAUUUUUAAGGCACGUGUUUUACUUUUCGUUAUACCAGAAAUUUUGGUCAUGCUGAACCACUCUCCUUAAAUGAUCGACUCAUAUAAAUAAUAUAUAUUAAAAAAAAAUUGAUGCA